GCAGUGGUGGUUCAGUGGUAGAAUUCUCACCUUCCAUGAGGGAGACCCAGGUUCAAUUCCUGGCCAGUGCA
rnacentral:tRNA from 2 species